rnacentral:rRNA from 1 species
GAUGAACGCUGGCGGCGUGCCUAAUACAUGCAAGUCGAGCGAACAGACGAGGAGCUUGCUCCUCUGACGUUAGCGGCGGACGGGUGAGUAACACGUGGAUAACCUACCUAUAAGACUGGGAUAACUUCGGGAAACCGGAGCUAAUACCGGAUAAUCUAUUGAACCGCAUGGUUCAAUAGUGAAGGACGGUUUUGCUGUCACUUAUAGAUGGAUCCGCGCCGCAUUAGCUAGUUGGUAAGGUAACGGCUUACCAAGGCGACGAUGCGUAGCCGACCUGAGAGGGUGAUCGGCCACACUGGAACUGAGACACGGUCCAGACUCCUACGGGAGGCAGCAGUAGGGAAUCUUCCGCAAUGGGCGAAAGCCUGACGGAGCAACGCCGCGUGAGUGAUGAAGGUCUUCGGAUCGUAAAACUCUGUUAUUAGGGAAGAACAAAUGUGUAAGUAACUAUGCACGUCUUGACGGUACCUAAUCAGAAAGCCACGGCUAACUACGUG